rnacentral:rRNA from 1 species
UACAGAGGUCCCGAGCGUUGUUCGGAUUCAUUGGGCGUAAAGGGUGCGUAGGCGGUUUUUUUAAGUUUGAUGUGAAAUCCCGGGGCUCAACCCUGGAAUUGCAUUGAAUACUGAAGAACUAGAGAUCUGGAGAGGAAACUGGAAUUUACGGUGUAGCAGUGAAAUGCGUAGAGAUCGUAAGGAAGACCAGUGGCGAAGGCGAGUUUCUGGACAGAUACUGACGCUGAGGCACGAAGGCCAGGGGAGCAAACGGG